rnacentral:pre_miRNA from 1 species
CAAGUAUUGUGCAGCCAAGGAUGACUUGCCGACUACUUUUUUUCUCACUUGACUAGUUUCCUUUUAAUGUUAAAGAGAGACUUUCAAGUUGGCAAGUUGUUCUUGGCUACAUAAUUCUUUCU